UGGGGUAUAUUGGACAACGGGCGAAAGCCUGAUCCAGCCAUGCCGCGUGUGUGAAGAAGGUCUUCGGAUUGUAAAGCACUUUAAGUUGGGAGGAAGGGCAUUAACCUAAUACGUUAGUGUUUUGACGUUACCGACAGAAUAAGCACCGGCUAACUCUGUGCCAGCAGCCGCGGUAAUACAGAGGGGGCAAGCGUUAAUCGGAAUUACUGGGCGUAAAGCGCGCGUAGGUGGUUUGUUAAGUUGGAUGUGAAAUCCCCGGGCUCAACCUGGGAACUGCAUUCAAAACUGACUGACUAGAGUAUGGUAGAGGGUGGUGGAAUUUCCUGUGUAGCGGUGAAAUGCGUAGAUAUAGGAAGGAACACCAGUGGCGAAGGCGACCACCUGGACUAAUACUGACACUGAGGUGCGAAAGCGUGGGGAGCAAACA
rnacentral:rRNA from 1 species